rnacentral:rRNA from 1 species
AUUGAACGCUGGCGGCAUGCCUAACACAUGCAAGUCGAACGAGUGGCGAACGGGUGAGUAAUGUCUGGGAAACUGCCUGAUGGAGGGGGAUAACUACUGGAAACGGUAGCUAAUACCGCAUACCAUCAGAUGUGCCCAGAUCGGAUUAGCUGGUUGGUGGGGUAACGGCUCACCACGGCGACGAUCCCUAGCUGGUCUGAGAGGAUGACCAGCCACACUGGAACUGAGACACGGUCCAGACUCCUACGGGAGGCAGCAGUGGGGAAUAUUGCACAAUGGGCGCAAGCCUGAUGCAGCCAUGCCGCGUGUAUGAAGAAGGCCUUCGGGUUGUAAAGUACUUUUAGCGGGGAGGCGGUACCCGAAGAAGAAGCACCGGCUAACUACGUGCCAGCAGCCGCGGUAAUUC